AAUAGAUACCCCGGUAGUCCACGCCCUAAACGAUGCAGACUAGAUUGCAGCAGGUUACACCCUGUUGCGGUCGGAGCGAAAUUGUUAAGUCUGCCACCUGGGAAGUACGGUCGCAAGGCUAAAACUCAAAGGAAUUGACGGGGGGCUCACACAAGCGGUGGAGCAUGUGGCUCAAUUCGAAGCAACGCGAAGAACCUUAUCCUGGACUUGACAUGGUAGAAGUACGAAGUGGAAACACUUAGGACCGGUAUCCAAUCCGGAACUAUCACAGGUGCUGCAUGGCUGUCGUCAGCUCGUGCUGUGAAGUGUCGGGUUAAGUCCCAUAACGAGCGAAACCCCUAUCGUUAGUUGCCAGCAUGUAAUGGUGGGCACUCUAACGAGACUGCCGGUGUUAAACCGGAGGAAGGCGGGGAUGACGUCAAGUCCUCAUGGCCUUUAUGUCCAGGGCUGCACACGUGCUACAAUGCCGAUGACAAACCGAAGCAAGACCGCAAGGUGGAGCAAAUCGGAGAAAAAUCGGCCCAGUUCAG
rnacentral:rRNA from 1 species